GUUGUUGGAUGCCUCAGUCUCUCUCUCUCUCUCUCUCAAGUGAGUCUGAAGCCUAGUUCUCUCUCUCUCUUUCUAUCUUCUUGAUUCUAAUAUGCUACAGUUCAAUAUGCCUUGUACUAGUAUCUUAUCAUAUCGAUCAUCGAUUGGUACAACUUUUAGUAUUGGUUCGGUGAAUCUUUCAAUUGAUUUAUCUUACGUACCCAUAAAUGGAG
rnacentral:lncRNA from 1 species